CUAAGCAUGGCAUGAAGCAUCACACCAAAUACAUUAAUGAGCAAUAACAGUAAUUUUGGAAUUAUUGUAAUUGAAAUGGCAAAAAAAAAAAUCAUAAUACCACCUCUAGUAGCAUGAUUACUUGGCUUAUAAAGUUUGACCAAUAGGUGGCACUGUUAUGAAAUCAAUUUGGUGUACUCUGUUUGACUUUUCAAUGACACACACAAAGUUUGGUGUUAAUAUGCCACAGCAUUCCAGAGAUGCAGCCUCAAGUGUCAUUUUGUCAUUGUGUUUCAACUUCGUCGCUUUGGUAUGCGAAAACAGUUUUGUCUAUCGACACAAAAUCCAUAACUUUGUGUCAACAUAGUCUGAAGAUCAUCUGAUUCGAAUUUGGUGAAAAUUGGACCUACGGUUCAUGAGGAGUUCGAAAAAGUAGGUUUUCCACAUAAAUCAAAAUGGUGGACCGGAACUUCAGUAAACACUGGCAUAUUUGGUAUCUAUGUUAUCGGCAUAAGCCAGGGAAUAUUUUGAGCCCAGUUACGUUGCAAUAGGCUAAUGGACUAAAAAGUUAUUAGCAUUUUAAAAAGUGUAAUUACUCAUGGUUAAUGAAUGGUUUAUUACUCUUGACCAAUAGGUGGCGCUGUUACCAAAUUUAUGUGGCAUGGUCAGUGUGAGGUGGCGAUGACACAUACAAAGUUUGGUGCAAAUAUGUCAAAGUGUUGCAGAGAUACAGCCUCAAAUGCAUUUUGGCACCCUUCCAGCAAAUUCGUUGAUGCGCUAAAUGAGAACCGUUACGUAUAUCGACACAAAAUCCAUAACUUUUUGCCAGCAUGGUCUGAAGAUGAUUCACGUCAAAUUUGGUGAAAAUUGGGCUAACGGUCUAGGAGGAGUUCGAAAAAGUAGGUUUUCAACAUUAAGCAAAAUGGCGGACAGGAAGUAAGGCCAAUUUUCACAUUAUUGGUAUCAAUACUCUCGGCAUGACCCACAGAAUAUAGCGAGACCAUUUUAAUUUUAAUAGACUAAUUUAUUCAAAAGUUAUUAGCGUUUAUGUGAUAUUUCAUUAUAACUAUUGGCCACAAGGUGGCGCUGCCACCAAACUUUUUGAGUACCUUCAGGGCAUGGAGCCGAAUAUUUUUGUAAUUAUUUGCGAAACGAUACGAUGCUGCGUUCAAAAAAUACAGCAUUUUGAAACAUAAUUCAAAAUGGCCGACGCCUAAAAUGGCCGACACAGGAAAAUUGGAUAUCAUUCGACUCGACAUGACUCACUGAAUCUAAUGAGACCAGUUGUGUGAUUUUUGGCCAAACCAUUCAGUAGUUAUAAGCCAAAAUAUGCAUUUUUCAUAUCUCCUGACCACUAGGUGGCGCUGUGUCGAAACACAGCAGGUAGUCUCAGUUCAUGCUUGUUAUAACACACGCCAAGUUUGGUCUCAAUAUGACAAACCGUUGCCGGGAUAUAGCCUCACGUGCAUGUUUGCGUGCUUUUCGUCAAAUUUGUUUACGUGUCAUUCGACAACAGUUGGACGAAUCAACUUGAAUUCCAUAACUUUUUGCCAGCAUGGUCUGAAGAUGAUCUGAGCCAAUUUUCGUGGCAAUCGGACUAACCGUCUAGGACGAGUUCGAAAAAGUAGGUUUUUCGAAUAAUUGAAAAUAGCGAAAAAACUAAACCUUGCGAUUUUUGAAUUUUAGGGUUCAUUCGACUUGGCCUGAGCCAAGGAUUCAGAGGAAAAAAGAAUUUCCAUUUUCUGGCUUACGGUUCAAAAGUUAUUAGCAUACAAACAUUGAAAGUUUGGACAAGUGGUGGCGCUAGAGAGUAGGAGUUAGAGGCUUCAAAUUUGCUAUAGUUAAUGUUGGGACUGUCCUCUAUCAGUGUGCCAAAUUAUACAACUUUCCCGCAAACGGUUCUAUGGGCUGCCAUAGACUUGCGGCGGAAGAAGAAGAAGAAGAAAUAUAGCUGCAAGCAGCAAUCACGGGGCCAAGCAUUCCAGCGGCAACAUCAGGAGCUAAGCAUAUGUAGCAUCAGACCAAAUGCAACAAUGAAUAAUGAAAUUAAUAAUUGCAUGAUUGUAAUUGAAAUGGCUGAAAAUCGUUAAUAAAAGUUCCACAGCGAGGAGCUAAGCAUGGCAUGGAGCAUCAGACCAAAUGCAACGAGUAAGAAAAGCAAUUAUUGGAAGAGUGUAAUUGAAACAGCCAGUAAAACUCCAGUAAAAUGAUGCAUUAUCAUUUUUGGAAAAUAGUUGGCGCUGUAAUCAAAUUGCUUUGUUGUGUUCUGUGGGAGGUGACAAUGUUGUGGGCAAUUUCUUUCCAAAUACUUACAGACCUUUAGGGCAAUGAGUCGAACAUGCCCACCGAGUUUCGUUCCGAUCGACUUCCAUUAACCUUGUCAAAUAGGUGCUUAAAGUUGUUUGGCCAAUGGCGGCCAUGUUUUUUAAGAUAAGUGAAAUUCCUCAUAGACACUUAUGCCACAUUGGGCCAUACCAAUUUUCAAGUUGAUUGGAUCAGCGGUUGCUUAGUUAUAGCCAUUUUAGUUUUUUUUCAUCCUGUAGCGCCACCAAGUGGCAGAUAUGGAAAAAAUAAUAAUUUGACUAAAGUUUUUGUUCAUGCAUAUGAGUUCUGAGUUUGGUGAAGAUAUCUCAUUUUGUUCCCGAGUUAUAGCCUUUUUCAUAAAAUUGGUCCACGAAUUUGAAUGUUUU